rnacentral:lncRNA from 1 species
UGCAGUCAUUUAGGCUGCGUUCUAGCCGUUGGGUAAUUUAAACACAAUUUUGGAUGAAAAAAUGUAGCAGCCACUUUAAAAUGUCAACACAGAUCAUUCCAUGUUAGUCAUCGUCGGUGAAGGAUGUAAAUCGUGAUCGUUUCUAAAAAAUAGUCGCAAAAUUGGUGGAUUAGUGUAGUGAUUUUUUAAAGAUCCUCAGUUCUUCCCUGCCACUCGUUGUGAACGAUUUCCGGAACCGAGAUGCUGGUUACUGAUCUCAAAAGAAUUACCGCACUGAUUUCGACAGAUGGCACCCCGCUCCGAGCUUUGUUUUCCCGUUCCAGCCACCCUGUGCCACCGCCUAAUUGCAGUAAAUUUUCACACCCGAUACCAAAUGUUUUUUUGCACCGUGAACGUCGCUCCUGGCAUCCACGUCGUUGACUAAAAGCUUCAAGCGAAUAAAGGUUUUUUUUAA